UAAAAUAAAAAACAAAAUUAAAAAAUCCUCACAUAUACUAAUUAAUUAAAAGAACCGAAAUCAGAAGACACCCAAACCCUCCUCUCUCUAGAAAUCCCUCCCCCUCUCUCUAAAAUCACUCUCUGCUAAAAUUUCCCCAAAAUGUGAAUCUCAAUCGGUUUCUAUUUCUUGCCCAAUAACGAUUUCGCUGCUUAAUGGAGGAGAUAACAAGCUUCAUCCAUCCUAACCAUUCAUAGAAUUACUUAACCAUUCAUAUAACAGAUCGACGCUUGACAGGUUUUUUCCCCCUCCUCUGUAAGUGUUCAAAUCCCUAAUAUUUUCCUUUUUCUUUUAGGAACAAAAAUAUCAUAAAGUUGUUGUUCAAAUCUAUAUCGAUUUUGGGUUUUUGGCCGCGGGAAAUUGAACAUGAACUUCUCGGUAUGCCUCCACUGCUUCGCAAAAGGAAAAAAACAGUUUUCGAGUAAAAUAUUGCAACGAUUUGGGAACUAAAUUUUCGACUUAGGUCACUACUUGUAUUGGGGGGGGGGGGGGAGCAUAAAAAAAGAAAGAAUAUGGCAAAAUUUUCAACAUUCAGUUAGGGAUUAUUGUUAUUUCAGUGAUUUUACAUUUUCAUUCUUAGAUUUCAUCUCGAAUUUCUCUGAACCAUUUGAUAAUCUACAGGAAUACAAAAAACACCUGCACAGAAAGACUCAUUUGAGGCCUAUUUGGUGUUGUUGAUUUUCAGUCUUGACAGAACUCGACUAUCUUAGUUUGGGUAAGUUAAAAGCUUCUUGUUCAGAGACCUAUUGCAUGUUGGUAUUUCAUUCUAAUUUUUUUUUCCUUUUAUGGCUAUAUGCCUAAAUCAGUAGAUAGAUACUUUUAAAUUUUAUAAGGCAUAUAUAUGUUACUGUAAGGUUAUAAGAAAAUAUAUAUAUUUUUUCUUGUAUGGCUAUAUGCCUAAAUCAGUAGAUAGAAGAGCUCAUUGUUUCAUCCUCUGCAGUUUAAGCCUUUUGAUACUAUAUAUGGAACUAAUUCGUAACUAUAAAUAGGGUGAAGAUGAAGCUCUAUAUCUUCAAGUGCUGAUAUAUUUAAUUUGAUGCUUUACUUCUCUUAUUAGACGCAUGUUUAUUUUUCCAGAACUAAGAUCUUUGCUUUCAAGACAAGUUCUGCUUGUCUAGCACCAAUCUUCUCUUGUAUUGUAAAUAAAGAAUCCAGAAUUUUAAUGGAUCGACUUGAUUGUUGAUAUUUAUCUUAUCUAAACUAUUAUAAAACAUGAAACUUAUAUAUAUAUAUAUAUAUACACGCGCGCGCGCGAUUUUAGCAAACCCUAUUAAAUAUCAUUUCCAACCAAUCCCAUAAACACCUACUUCCUAAUUUGUUUACCUGGAUCCUUCACAACUAAGUAAUUCUUUAAUAAAUUCUGUAGAAUUAUCCUUCAGAUGCUGUGAUGCCACUGCUAUAUCUUUGCUUCUACAUUAAACAAUGCUUUUUGCUCUUCUGUGUACCUGUUUCUUCCUAA
rnacentral:lncRNA from 1 species